rnacentral:rRNA from 1 species
GACGAACGCUGGCGGCGUGCUUAACACAUGCAAGUCGAACGGAAAGGCCCUGCUUUUGUGGGGUGCUCGAGUGGCGAACGGGUGAGUAACACGUGAGUAACCUGCCCUUGACUUUGGGAUAACUUCAGGAAACUGGGGCUAAUACCGGAUAGGAGCUCCUGCUGCAUGGUGGGGGUUGGAAAGUCUCGGCGGUUGGGGAUGGACUCGCGGCUUAUCAGCUUGUUGGUGGGGUAGUGGCUUACCAAGGCUUUGGCGGGUAGCCGGCCUGAGAGGGUGACCGGCCACAUUGGGACUGAGAUACGGCCCAGACUCCUACGGGAGGCAGCAGUGGGGAAUAUUGCACAAUGGGCGGAAGCCUGAUGCAGCAACGCCGCGUGCGGGAUGACGGCCUUCGGGUUGUAAACCGCUUUCGCCUGUGACGAAGCGUGAGUGACGGUAAUGGGUAAAGAAGCACCGGCUAACUACGUG